rnacentral:rRNA from 1 species
AGACCCGAAACCCGGUGAUCUAGCCAUGGGCAGGUUGAAGGUUGGGUAACACUAACUGGAGGACCGAACCGACUAAUGUUGAAAAAUUAGCGGAUGACCUGUGGCUGGGGGUGAAAGGCCAAUCAAACCGGGAGAUAGCUGGUUCUCCCCGAAAGCUAUUUAGGUAGCGCCUCGUGAAUUCAUCUCCGGGGGUAGAGCACUGUUUCGGCUAGGGGGCCAUCCCGGCUUACCAACCCGAUGCAAACUGCGAAUACCGGAGAAUGUUAUCACGGGAGACACACGGCGGGUGCUAACGUCCGUCGUGAAGAGGGAAACAACCCAGACCGCCAGCUAAGGUCCCAAAGUCAUGGUUAAGUGGGAAACGAUGUGGGAAGGCCCAGACAGCCAGGAUGUUGGCUUAGAAGCAGCCAUCAUUUAAAGAAAGCGUAAUAGCUCACUGGUCGAGUCGGCCUGCGCGGAAGAUGUAACGGGGCUAAACCAUGCACCGAAGCUGCGGCAGCGACACUGUGUGUUGUUGGGUAGGGGAGCGUUCUGUAAGCCUGUGAAGGUGUGUCGUGAGGCAUGCUGGAGGUAUCAGAAGUGCG